rnacentral:rRNA from 1 species
AUUGAACGCUAGCGGGAUGCUUUACACAUGCAAGUCGAACGGCAGCGCGGACUUCGGUCUGGCUUCGAGUGGCGAACGGGUGAGUAAUGUAUCGGAACGUGCCCAGUAGCGGGGUAUAACUACGCGAAAGCGUAGCUAAUACCGCAUACGCCCUACGGGGGAAAGCAGGGGAUCGUAAGACCUUGCACUAUUGGAGCGGCCGAUGUCGGAUUAGCUAGUUGGUGAGGUAACGGCUCACCAAGGCGACGAUCCGUAGCUGGUUUGAGAGGACGACCAGCCACACUGGGACUGAGACACGGCCCAGACUCCUACGGGAGGCAGCAGUGGGGAAUUUUGGACAAUGGGGGCAACCCUGAUCCAGCCAUCCCGCGUGUGCGAUGAAGGCCUUCGGGUUGUAAAGCACUUUUGGCAGGAAAGAAACGUCGCGGGCUAAUACCCCGUGGAACUGACGGUACCUGAAGAAUAAGCACCGGCUAACUACGUG